rnacentral:misc_RNA from 1 species
GUAGGUGAACCUGCGGAAGGAUCAUUAACACGUAUCCAAACGUUAAAACCCCUCUGUGAACCUUCAACACCAAUAAGGGUCUGCAAAUAGUUUGGGGCAACCCCUAGUAAAUCAUUGUCUGAAUCAGAUUUGAGUUAGGGGCUUCUCUGGGCAGCGCGGUGAGCAAGUUUAGCUACUUAGGUCCCUGGCGGCUCUGAAGUGACUUCCACUGUCUGAAAGUGUCAGUGUACUUGCGUAAGGAGUUGGCGCAGUCAACGAAUUAAGGGGCCGACACGGCCCUGCGACCGGGACCCGGCUCCAACCAGAUGAAAAUCUGGCAUGACAUGAGAGACGGCCGGCGCCGAAAGGUUGUAGGCCCAAAAAAACGAACAACUGUGAACAAUGGAUAUCUUGGUUCUC